rnacentral:rRNA from 1 species
UAGGGAAUCUUCGGCAAUGGACGAAAGUCUGACCGAGCAACGCCGCGUGAGUGAAGAAGGUUUUCGGACCGUAAAACUCUGUUGUUAGAGAAGAACAAGGACGUUAGUAACUGAACGUCCCCUGACGGUAUCUAACCAGAAAGCCACGGCUAACUACGUGCCAGCAGCCGCGGUAAUACGUAGGUGGCAAGCGUUGUCCGGAUUUAUUGGGCGUAAAGCGAGCGCAGGCGGUUUCUUAAGUCUGAUGUGAAAGCCCCCGGCUCAACCGGGGAGGGUCAUUGGAAACUGGGAGACUUGAGUGCAGAAGAGGAGAGUGGAAUUCCAUGUGUAGCGGUGAAAUGCGUAGAUAUAUGGAGGAACACCAGUGGCGAAGGCGGCUCUCUGGUCUGUAACUGACGCUGAGGCUCGAAAGCGUGGGGAGCAAACAGG